CCGCAUAACCAUAGUUACCGCAUGGUAACUAUGUAAAAGGUGGCUAUGCUACCGCUUUUGGAUGGGCCCGCGGCGCAUUAGCUAGUUGGUGGGGUAAAGGCUUACCAAGGCAAUGAUGCGUAGCCGAACUGAGAGGUUGAUCGGCCACAUUGGGACUGAGACACGGCCCAAACUCCUACGGGAGGCAGCAG
rnacentral:rRNA from 1 species